UGGGGAAUAUUGCACAAUGGGCGCAAGCCUGAUGCAGCCAUGCCGCGUGUGUGAAGAAGGCCUUCGGGUUGUAAAGCACUUUCAGCGAGGAGGAAGGGUAGUGUGUUAAUAGCACAUUGCAUUGACGUUACUCGCAGAAGAAGCACCGGCUAACUCCGUGCCAGCAGCCGCGGUAAUACGGAGGGUGCAAGCGUUAAUCGGAAUUACUGGGCGUAAAGCGCACGCAGGCGGUUUGUUAAGUCAGAUGUGAAAUCCCCGCGCUUAACGUGGGAACUGCAUUUGAAACUGGCAAGCUAGAGUCCUGUAGAGGGGGGUAGAAUUCCAGGUGUAGCGGUGAAAUGCGUAGAGAUCUGGAGGAAUACCGGUGGCGAAGGCGGCCCCCCUGGACAAAGACUGACGCUCAGGUGCG
rnacentral:rRNA from 1 species